GAGGAUAUGGCUGUUUCUCUUGGCUUCUAACUCCAUUGUCCCGACCUGAUACCCCUUCUGAACACAAUUACAAUCAUGCACAUAAGUCCAUGCGGAAUGUGAUAGAAAGAUGUUUUGGUGUGCUCAAAUCUAAGUUUCGGUGUCUGGAUAAGUCUAGUGGCCUUUUGUUGUAUAGUCCCUUGAAGGUGACUCAAAUUGUGUUCUGCUGCUGCUUUCUUCAUAACAUGUGUUUGCAACAACAUCUGCCACAUGUUGAGGAGGAGGAGGAUGAAGAAAGAAGCCAGCAAGCAGAGGAAUUAGAGACAUCUGGUGAUACUUGGAGUACAGAUGUAGGGCGGCAGGUUAGGCAAGACCUCAUAAAUCUUUAUUUUUAAGCAUCUUACACACAAUGUGCUACAGUAUGGCUGAAGUGGACAUACAUUUCUUUACAGGAUGUGGACAAGGCCAUUUUGCUAGGAUUCCAUUUCAUGUUUUACUGACUUCGUUUGAUACAAUCAAGAUGAGGGGAGUGUGUGGUUCACGUCUUGGAGGUGUGUCCAAAAUUUGGAGUGGGGGGACCGAACAUACUG